UACGAAGGGGGCUAGCGUUGUUCGGAAUUACUGGGCGUAAAGCGCGUGUAGGCGGGUCUUUAAGUCAGGGGUGAAAUGCCAAGGCUCAACCUUGGAACUGCCUUUGAUACUGGAGAUCUUGAGUCCGGGAGAGGUGAGUGGAACUGCGAGUGUAGAGGUGAAAUUCGUAGAUAAUUCGCAAGAACACCAGUGGCGAAGGCGGCUCACUGGCCCGGAACUGACGCUGAGACGCGAAAGCGUGGGGAGCAAACAGG
rnacentral:rRNA from 1 species